AGCUGUUCCAGCCUCCAGGACUCAAUGGGAACUUUCUACGUCAAGUCAAGUUCCCAGCUGUCCCACAGCGUAGGAAACAGCAAUGAAUCCGGCCGCCUUAGCCACCAGACGCAAACUUCAGCCAACAGCAGAGCCUUCCAGGUUUUAUUGGCUUCUGAAAUGCACUAGUAGUUGAGCCCAGACUCCUUGGUGUGGUUUGCGAGCUAGAAAAGGACCAGGUGAACCCAGGGAGGAGAAUAAAGAUGAGAAGCCACAAGAGUGAAGGCCUGAAGCCCAGCUUUAAACAGA